rnacentral:rRNA from 1 species
CCACUCAGAGGGUGUAUUUAUUAGAUAACAAAUCAAUAUUCCUUGUGUCUAUUGUGAUGAUUCAUAAUAACUUGUCGGAUCGCAUGGACUUUGUCCGCGAUAAGUCAUUCAAGUUUCUGCCCCAUCAGCUUUCGAUGGUAGUGUAUUGGACUACCAUGGCAUUUACGGGUAACGGAGGAUUAGGGUUCGAUUCCGGAGAGGGAGCCUGAGAAACGGCUACCACAUCUAAGGAAGGCAGCAGGCGCGUAAAUUACCCAAUCCUGACUCAGGGAGGUAGUG